rnacentral:rRNA from 1 species
UACGGAGGGUGCGAAGCAGUUAUCCGGCGAUUCACUGGGGUUUUAAAAGGGGAGCGUAGGUGGGCUGGUAAGUCAGUGGUGAAAUCCCCCGAGCUUAACUUGGGAACUGCCAUUGAUACUAUCAGUCUUGAAUACUGUGGAGGUUAGCGGAAUAUGUCAUGUAGCGGUGAAAUGCUUAGAUAUGACAUAGAACACCAAUUGCGAAGGCAGCUGGCUACACAAUUAUUGACACUGAGGCUCGAAAGCGUGGGGAUCAAACAGG